CUGGCUCAGAACGAACGCUGGCGGCGCGUUUAAGCAUGCAAGUCGAGCGGCAAGGGCCUCGGGCCCUAGAGCGGCGGACGGGUGAGUAACACGUGGACAAUCUGCCCCCCGGCCCGGGAUAGCCCAGGGAAACCUGGAUUAAUACCGGAUGAGACGGGACCCGCGAUGGCGGGACCCGGGAAAGGCGCUGCGGCGCCGCCGGGGGAUGAGUCUGCGUCCCAUUAGCUAGACGGCGGGGUAACGGCCCACCGUGGCGACGAUGGGUAGCCGGCCUGAGAGGGUGGACGGCCACAUUGGAACUGAGACACGGUCCAGACUCCUACGGGAGGCAGCAGCUAAGAAUCUUCCGCAAUGGACGAAAGUCUGACGGAGCAACGCCGCGUGAGUGAAGAAAAGGUUUUCGGAUCGUAAAACUCUGUUGUCAGAGAAGAACAAGUUGGAGAGUAACUGCUCCAGCCUUGACGGUAUCUGACCAGAAAGCCACGGCUAACUACGUGCCAGCCGCCGC
rnacentral:rRNA from 1 species